rnacentral:rRNA from 1 species
GCUUGCUCCCUGAGAUUAGCGGCGGACGGGUGAGUAACACGUGGGCAACCUGCCUAUAAGACUGGGAUAACUUCGGGAAACCGGAGCUAAUACCGGAUACGUUCUUUUCUCGCAUGAGAGAAGAUGGAAAGACGGUUUACGCUGUCACUUAUAGAUGGGCCCGCGGCGCAUUAGCUAGUUGGUGAGGUAAUGGCUCACCAAGGCGACGAUGCGUAGCCGACCUGAGAGGGUGAUCGGCCACACUGGGACUGAGACACGGCCCAGACUCCUACGGGAGGCAGCAGUAGGGAAUCUUCCGCAAUGGACGAAAGUCUGACGGAGCAACGCCGCGUGAACGAAGAAGGCCUUCGGGUCGUAAAGUUCUGUUGUUAGGGAAGAACAAGUACCAGAGUAACUGCUGGUACCUUGACGGUACCUAACCAGAAAGCCACGGCUAACUACGUGCCAGCAGCCGCGGUAAUACGUAGGUGGCAAGCGUUGUCCGGAAUUAUUGGGCGUAAAGCGCGCGCAGGUGGUUCCUUAAGUCUGAUGUGAAAGCCCACGGCUCAACCGUGGAGGGUCAUUGGAAACUGGGGAACUUGAGUGCAGAAGAGGAAAGUGGAAUUCCAAGUGUAGCGGUG